rnacentral:rRNA from 1 species
AUACGAAAGGUGCAAGCGUUGUUCGGAUUUACUGGGCGUAAAGAGAGUGUAGGUUGUUUAUUAAGUCGGAUGUGAAAUCCCGGGGCUCAACCUCGGAACUGCAUUCGAUACUGAUAGGCUAGAGUUUGGGAGGGGUAAGCGGAAUUCCGUGUGUAGCAGUGGAAUGCGUAGAUAUACGGAGGAACACCUGAGGCGAGGGCGGCUUACUGGACCAAUACUGACACUGAGACUCGAAAGCGUGGGUAGCAAACAGGAUUAGAAACCCCAGUAGUCC